rnacentral:rRNA from 1 species
AGAGAAUAGAUACCCCGGUAGUCCACGCCGUAAACGAUGGGCACUUGGUGUCGCGGGUAUCGACCCCUGCGGUGCCGAAAGCUAAACGCAUUAAGUGCCCCGCCUGGGGAGUACGGUCGCAAGGCUGAAACUCAAAGGAAAUUGACGGGGGCCCGGCACAAGCGGUGGAGCAUGUGGUUCAAUUCGAAGCAACGCGAAGAACCUUACCUGGGUUUGAAGAUCAGUGGAUCGGGGGCGGAAAAUCCCCCUUCCCCGCAACGGGGCCGCGUGGUUAGGUGCUGCAUGGCUGUCGUCAGCUCGUGUCGUGAGAUGUUGGGUUAAGUCCC